UGUUUACUACACAUUUAAUUUUAGGGAAGCUUUUACUAAUUAAAUAGCAUUUAUUUAGUUUUAUUUAGUAGCACAUCACUGCCUAUCAGGUCUUUUACGUGUUGAGGGCGCAUACCAAACAGACCUCCUGAGGAUCCGUGUGGGAAAGACCGGACGGCGUCGAGUAUUUCAUCAGCGGUAACGUCAGAGAUCAAGAAUUGUGCUUGGGGCUUGUCAACCGGUGUCGCAUGGGCACACGCCCGAGGAUGCUUCUCCUGCAACAACAGCGCCGAUUCUGGGGUUGGGCGAAUAACAUUAUCCGUCGAGCAUAAGGCUUUAACUGCGGCUGAGAUAGCACAGUCCUGGAACUUGCUAUUUACUCUUCGUGCAAUGGCUUCGUUAGGGUUGGAUGCAGCCUGGAGGGGACGGUUGUGGAGAACGGGAGCCGCGCCACCGCCAGUGAGAUUUAGACGUAGGGCAGCGGUAACAGAUAACUCCGUUUUCUCUGCUGGUAGGCGAAAUAUUUCAAACGCAAAGGUGCUUAGCUUCGUCCAUGCCACAGGUGUGUUGUCUGUACAGCAUUCGCUAAGCACCGUGCACAAAUCAUUAGCAAUGGAGGUUCGUAACGCUCGGGGAACCCGGGGAGCCAACGGAGUAGCAGCACGGAGCUUUGCCAGUGUUUGAGCCUGGUUUUCGCACAACACAGUGGCGGGGAUCGCAGAUUUUGUUGUAGGGAGGAUGUUUCGUUCUUUACUUGCUUGGGUUUUCAGACAAGUCGAUUUGUUGCGAUGUAGAUCCAGACGGGUGAAGAGCUCUCCGCAGUCUGGGCAGGCAACUGGCUGUUUCACUGACUGGGAUCGUGUAGAAGCCAGGGUUGCGCUCGAAGAGGGAGAAACGAUAUUGGUAUAUUACUUUUCUGCAAAAGACGAGAUUUUUCCGAAUGUGGACCCGGAAAUUGUGCCCUUGUUAUGUUUACAAGUUCCGCGCUUACUGAACCCUGCCAGUUCGUAAGGAAUUUGUUGUCCGUUGUUGGGCCAGUAGCCGCUCGGUGCAAGAUAGCCCGUUGCCGGAAUGAAACUAUCGAACCCGGUGCCGUCGUCGUCAUCGUCCCACAUGGUAUCGUUUAGCAGCAGAAGUUUGUCAUCUGCAUCAAAAAUUCACCGAAAAACUUCGAAGCGCGAACUAAAUGUCGCACGAGGAAUCAAAAAUGCUUUACCAGACGGAGACGAUAAUGUUCCGGCAAUCCUCAACAGCGCCGAAAUAAGCAGAACAAGUGGAGAAUGCAUUCCUCUACCUUGAAGUACUUAAAACAGUCGUUGCGUACACUGCUGCGCAAACAGGCUUGUACACCUGUCUUCUGUCUCAGCGUAAACAGAAAGAGAAAAAUCCGGCGGAAGCUUGGUAAAGCGUUCACAAGAGCAGUUUCCAAAUUUACGCUAUUUUUAGUUCGCGGUAGUACUGAUUCAGAAAUGAAGCGUCAUAAUACUUUCUCACGACAGUUAACAGUGUCGGCCGCACCAAAAUGAAAUGCCGGUACAGCAGCGAUAUAAUCGAGAGCAGCUAACAAGCAGCGGCGAUCGUGUCAGAUAAAAGCGGAAA